rnacentral:rRNA from 1 species
CCCUUAGAGUUUGAUCCUGGCUCAGAUUGAACGCUGGCGGCAUGCCUUACACAUGCAAGUCGAACGGUAACAGGUCUUCGGAUGCUGACGAGUGGCGAACGGGUGAGUAAUACAUCGGAACGUGCCCGAUCGUGGGGGAUAACGGAGCGAAAGCUUUGCUAAUACCGCAUACGAUCUACGGAUGAAAGCAGGGGACCGCAAGGCCUUGCACGGACGGAGCGGCCGAUGGCAGAUUAGGUAGUUGGUGGGAUAAAAGCUUACCAAGCCGACGAUCUGUAGCUGGUCUGAGAGGACGACCAGCCACACUGGGACUGAGACACGGCCCAGACUCCUACGGGAGGCAGCAGUGGGGAAUUUUGGACAAUGGGCGAAAGCCUGAUCCAGCCAUGCCGCGUGCAGGAUGAAGGCCUUCGGGUUGUAAACUGCUUUUGUACGGAACGAAAAGACUCCUUCUAAUAAAGGGGGUCCAUGACGGUACCGUAAGAAUAAGCACCGGCUAACUACGUGCCAGCAGCCGCGGUAAUACGUGGGGUGCAAGCGUUAAUCGGAAUUACUGGGCGUAAAGCGUGCGCAGGCGGUUAUAUAAGACAGAUGUGAAAUCCCCGGGCUCAACCUGGGAACUGCAUUUGUGACUGUAUAGCUAGAGUACGGUAGAGGGGGAUGGAAUUCCGCGUGUAGCAGUGAAAUGCGUAGAUAUGCGGAGGAACACCGAUGG